GAAAUGACAGAACUGUGAUCGCUGAAUACUACUACUACUUAUCAUUGUAAUUAACAUUAUUGAAACCCUAGACGUCGACGAUGACGGAACCGAUAUCAGUCGAAGAAGACGACAAGCAAGCAACGGGACUUCAACGACGCGUCGAACCAAUUUCGUCGUCGUCGGCGGAGGUUCAGAUAUGCAACAAUCGCAAGGAGAAAAGGAAGUUGACGAAGAAGGAGAAGAGGAAGCAGAAAAGGAAGGAACUAGCUGAGAAGACGCGCCAGGAAGAGGAGGCUAAGCUGAAUGAUCCCGAGGAGCUUCGCAGGAUUCAGCUGGAGGAAGAGGAAGAGAAGGAGAGAUUAGAGAGAGAAAGGAGAGAGUUUGAGGAAAGAGAGAGGCUCUUUCUCGAAGCACUGGCUCGAAAAGAAGCUCAAGAGGUAGAAGAAGAAGAACGAAGGAGAGUGGAAGACGAGGAAGAAAAGGCAAAACAAAGCCAGGUUGCCCUUGAAAAUGAGCCAGAUGAAGAUGUCGAGUGGGAAUAUGUAGAAGAUGGGCCUCCCGAAAUUAUAUGGCAAGGAAAUGAGAUAAUUGUGAAGAGGAAUAAAGUGAAAGUGAAAAAGAAGGAUCAAGAUCCUGUGAUUGUGAAAGAGGAUUCCAACA
rnacentral:misc_RNA from 1 species